GGCCGUGUAGCAUAGUGGUCAAGGCGCAGGCCUUGUAACCAAAAGGUUGCCGGUUCAAUUCCCCACGGGGGCA